rnacentral:misc_RNA from 1 species
GGUUGGCACACCUGUCACAGGAACCUUUUCUUCUCUUUCUUUCUCCUUUGCUUAUUUUUGCCUCAAUUUUGCUCUCCUUUUGUUUGAAUUUAAAUUUUAUUGUCAUGCCUCAUCACUUUCCUUCAAUUUAUGUCAUUCUUUCUACCCUUCACAUUUUUCUUGAGCUUUGACAAUUCCAAGAAUUCUUCGUAGUAGAUUUAUUAUUAAUUUUUUUUCUGGGCAGUGUUUAGAUAGCGCUGUGUGAUGAGUAAAUGUAGGAUUUAUUGCUACAAGUCUUCAUGAUUCCUGCAUGAGUCCAGUAUAUGAUCUCUGCACCACACAAUACUUUUGCUGCCACAUUGUUCCCUGCAAACAGUUAUUACUGUGGUCUCAAAUUCAAUUUAAUAGUGUUUGUAAACAUUUAAUGCCUUGGCUUGAUAUGUAGUUGUAGUGCAGAGCUUGGAAGUGGCCUGCAAAUGUAGAUUAAGCUACUGUUAACUUUCUUGAGCUUUGAAGCACUCAUGGAGAGUAAGAAUAAGGAAAUGAUAUCAAAGAUGGAUGAUUAUGAAGUGAUAGAACUGAUUGGAAGAGGAACUUUUGGAGCUGCAUUUCUCGUUCUUCAUAGGUUUGAAAAUAAGAGGUAUGUAUUGAAAAAGAUUCGUUUGGCUAAACAAACAGAAAAGUUUAAGCAUACAGCACAUCAAGAGAUGCAUUUAAUAGCAAAGCUGAAUAACCCAUAUAUAGUGGAGUUUAAAGAUGCAUGGGUGGAAAAGGACUGCUAUAUAUGCAUUGUGACGAGUUACUGUGAGGGAGGUGACAUGGCUCAAAUGAUAAAGAAAGCUAGAGGAACAUAUUUUCCUGAAGAGAAGCUCUGCAAAUGGCUGACCCAGUUGUUGCUGGCUGUGGACUACCUCCACUCCAAUCGUGUUCUUCACAGGGAUCUGAAAUGCUCAAACAUCUUCCUUACAAAAGACAAUGACAUCCAGCUAGGUGAGGACAUGGAUACAUGGAACUCUUCCACAAUGGAUUGAUUUCAAUUAUACUGCAAUUCCUUUAUCUCACAUUAUAUGUCCAGGUGACUUUGGACUAGCAAAAUUGUUGAACAAGGAAGAUCUUGCGUCCACGGUAGUGUUCACUCCCUUUCUGUUCUAAUUGUUACUCAGAUCUCCUACAUGGUGCUUGAAAUGUUUUACUAUCAAGCUUAAUUGUCUAUGGGAUCCAAUAACACCUACAGUCUUUUAUGUCCUGCAUAAAAAAGUCAUUUCUCUUUCUCAGAAGAAAAAGAAAAGAAAAGAUAAAAUUAUAUUUAUUCAAUUAUGAAUUUGAACAUUCUUGGCAAAUGCAGACUUCUUACAUUAGCAUGCUUAUUUUUGUAGAUUGUGGGCACUCCUAACUACAUGUGUCCAGAACUGCUUGCAGAUAUACCGUAUGGCUACAAAUCGGACAUUUGGUCUCUAGGUUGCUGUAUGUUUGAGAUAGCUGGACGUCAACCUGCCUUCAGAGCUCCUGUAAGUGCUGUUUUCACCUGACAUUGUUUAGAAAAAAAAUUGUGCCAGUAUUCUCAAUUGCUCAUGAAGAAUUGAUAACUUCAUCAGUUUUGAUUAUCAGGACCUGGCUGGUCUAAUCAACAAGAUAAACCGUUCCUCCAUUUCUCCACUUCCAACUGUCUAUUCGUCUUCACUAAAACAAUUAAUCAAAACCAUGCUAAGGAAGAAUCCAGAACACAGACCAACUGCUGCAGAGUUAUUGAGACAUCCCAUUCUAGAACCUUAUGUUGCUCAAUGCCAAAAUUUAUCUCCUGUCUUUCUCCCAGUGAAGUCUGAACACGGCUGCAAGGAUAAACCAAAAGAAAUUGGAUUGUCUAACAAGUCUAAUGUUCAGAAGAAUGCCAAAGGUAAGAAGCCAAUCCCAUUAAAGGAGUGUGGAUGUAUUCCACAAGAAAAUGUUGAUGCUUCUACACGUAAAGUUCCUGCAAAAGAUUUACACGGCAUUUUGGAACAAAAUGGAAGUGCCAACUCAGAAAUCACCUCUGAGGGCAUAACAAGGACUCACCUUGAAGAUGUGAAACAAGAGUUCAACUGUGAUCAUUUCCAAAUAGUCCCAAAGAAACUGCAAGGAAUUGUAGAAACUGACUUGGGAGGAAAGAGUGCUACUCCAGGGAGUUAUAAAGGAGUGGCAAAGUUGCCUGCAGAUCCAACAGAUAGCACUCGUCUUUCUGGUUGCAAAAUGGCAUCGGAGUCGAAGAAGAAUAACAAACGCUGGCAGAAAAUGGAACCCAAAUUCUGUUUUCACACAACAGCAACAAAUGGAAUAUCAUCACCCAGUAGAGUUAGCAAAGAAAAUAAUCAAGAAUUACAUGGGGCCUCUAGUGACGUGUCAUCAAUGAGCACACUAACUUUUGUCCACGGUGAUGAAACAAGAAUUGAAUGGGAUCCACAGAGCCUGCAAAGAGCAGAAGCACUGGAGUCACUGCUAGAGAUUUGUGCGAGUUUGCUUAGACAGGAAAGAUUUGAGGAACUAUCAGGAGUGUUAAGGCCAUUUGGGGAAGAAGUUGUGUCAUCAAGGGAAACGGCAAUCUGGUUAACAAAGAGCCUAAUGAAAAGUUCAAAAGAACAGCAGUGAAGCAGCUUAGUGACAUGCACGUUUAAAACAAAUGACAAAUUGAAUUAGGAAAUGCAACUGGCUCAAUUCAAUUUGAUGCAGAGAGCCAUGUAAAAUAGCUAGAGCUUGUAAGUGGUGAAAUUCCUUGCGUCUUUCUUUGUCGAUUUUGACUGAUGUACAGUAAGGAAUUGUAUAUGUGAACCAUUCUGACAAGAAAGCUAAAUUUGUUGAAUUUUUGUUUGCAUUUCUACUGCCUACUGGUGCUGCAAAUGAAACAACAGCUUUAGCUCAAAGGAUCAGAA